GUGAAAUUCCAUUUUAGAUUACAUUAACUUUGGAAAAGAAUUAACUGUCACUCAAGGUGCUAUUCUUGGAACGCCUAAAAUCUUGAAGAAGGAGUACACAGUGUCGUUUAAUUUAAAGCUUGUAAAUUAUUCUAAGGGUUUUAAAAAUAUUCUCCAUUUAACCUAAUAGUGGUAAUAGUGAAGCUUAUGGUGAUAAAAGUCCUGGUGUGUGGUUUCAUGAAGAAGGAUCAAGAAGGCUUGUUAUUUAUUCUGCAAUAAGCGGUAAUUCCAACUAUUUUAUUGAAACAACUCCACUUCUUAUGGAUCAAUGGUACAAUAUAAAAAUUCAUCAAACAAUGAUAGAUGGCCAAUAUUGGUUUGCUGUUGAUAUCAAUUGAGUAAAUAUUCAUAAAGUUGAAAAUUCUUUGGCUAGAGAUUUCAAAAACAUGAAAGUGUAUGCUUCCAAUGUUAGAGAAACUGGACAAGAUGGAUGGAUUUCAGACCUUCUUAUUAUCAAUGGGAAAUCUGAAUACCUAAUUGGAAAUAUAAAUAUUAAAAGGAAAAAUUAUUGCUGAAAUGCCAAACUUAGGAAAAGAAUAUUUAGUGUCAGUUGAUUUCAAUCCCAACAAGUUUGUUUCAGGUUAUCAUAAUGUUUUUCAUUUUAGCAUUGAUUUUAAUGGUGCACAUUAUUGUGAUCGUGUUCCUGGUAUCCGGAUUCAUCAGUAUGGUAAUGGAGGACUUCGCAUUGCAUCACCAAUUAAUGGUGAAAUCGAAUAUUUAAGACUAGUCCAAUUAAAUUAAAUAAAUGGUCAAAAAUUGAGUUAAGGACAAGUAAAUGGACAAGUUGUUCAUUCUGAAAUUAAUAAUGAUGCUCAAGGUUUUAAUAAUGUUAAAGUGUUUGCUUCAGAUCCUUGGAGUGAAAGCCAAGAUGGCAUAAUUAAAAACUUGGUUGUUAUUAAUUUUAAUGCUUCUAGCAUGUCAGCAGGUCGAAGCCAACCCACUAUUGUUCUUUCAAAUGGUUCCCAUUUGGUAAUUGGAUUGCUUGUUGGAUUGUUCCUAUUGGUUUUUGUUGUAGUUGUA